AGGUUGUUGCACGUGAACUCGGUUUACAACCUGUUGAUGAUGCUUCACCUUCGUUCAUCACUCCGCGAUAGAUCUCCGCCAUCAACGACUAAAACCACCCGAUUAUUACCAUAAAAUAUUUCCGGUAAUAAGUGAAGCUCUUGAACUUGUGAUUAAAGCUACAAUAUUUUCUUUUAGUAACGCUUUCUUUUAAAGGAAAAAAAAUCAAUGCGAAAUCGAAUUCGAAAGUGAAAUGAAAAAGAUUGUUCGCGCGCUCUAGAGAUGGAAGGCUUUUAAAUAUGAAGGCUCUUUAGUCUUUUCUGGAUGACUACGGGCAGAUUGCCCGUCACUGAUACGGGCAUACCAAACAACAGGUAGCGGCACU
rnacentral:lncRNA from 1 species